rnacentral:misc_RNA from 1 species
GUCCCGCUGCAAGGGCAAUCGACAAAUAGCGGCUUAGUGAGGUUAAUCAUAUCUCUGAGUAAUAUUUUAUUAACAAACAUUAAGUAUACCUACAAAUGUAUAAAUAUGUCAAUUUAACGAUAAAUGAUUUAGUUCGAUAAUAUCUCUUGUCGUGAUCUCUCGCAGAAAGUUAUCUUUUUUUUUUUUAUUCAAAAGUUUUUUUAUGUUAUUUAACAAUAUUAACAUUGAAAGUAUUGGUCUAUUUAGUGGUUUUGUUAAUAAAACUUUAAUUGAAUAAAUAAUUUUUUAACAAUGACUGAAAUAAGUAAUGAGUGUAAAAAAGUUUCUCAGUAUGGUUUAAUAGUGCCAAUAGAUCAUAAAUAUCCAGAACAAUGGAAACAAACUCUUCGGGUACGAUGGAGAGAAGUUUUGAAGCUGUUUGGCUUGGGAUUUCGAUUUCGAUCAUAUUGCAGCCAAGUUUCUCAGGAAGGACGUAUUCCAUUGAUGGAUUAUUCAAACCUUGUGAAUGACAGACAAAUUUAUGGCGUACCAAUAGGUGGAAUAGGAACAGGUUCAAUAGGUCGUGGAUUUAAUGGAGAGUUUUGUCGGUACGCAUUGAUACCAGGAAUUUAUAAAUACGAAACGGCACUUGCUAAUCAAUUUAUUGUCACAGUUCGAAACACUGACGGCAAGACUAUUUAUCACCAGGUGUUAUCGCCACUUUCUCGUGGCAAAUAUUUGUCUUCUUGGAAAUGGGGAUUUAACGGCAAGAAUGCUAAAUACACAGGACUUUUUCCACGAGCUUGGACAGAAUACGAUAUCAAAGAAUUGAAUGUUAAACUUAUUUGUCGACAAAUAUCACCGGUAAUCCCAAAUAAUUAUAAAGAUAGUUCUUUGCCGUGUGCAGCCUUCAUUUGGGAAAUAAUUAACGAGUCUAAUGUUGAUUUGGAUGUCAGCAUUACAUUUACAUUCCAGUCUGGUAUGGGCGGUUGUUCUUCAAUCCCAGGGGAAAAAUGGACAGAAUGUUUUGAAUAUAAAAAUGGAGUUAGGGGAGUGAUGAUACAUCAAGAAUUGAAGGGUAUGCCUUGCACGUAUGCAAUUGCUUCGAAAGCCAGUACUACGAGUGACGUUGACAUUUCACGGACGUUGAUAUUCGAUCCCUUUGGCGAUGGAAGUGAAUUGUGGGAGUUACUUGAACGUACAGGCAAACUUAAUACCUCAGCUACUCGACUUAAAUCUUCUCCAACACUGAAACAUGUCGGAUGCGCGGUAUGCUCUUCUCUGCGUGUUCAGGCAAACAACUCACGAGAAAUUGAAUUUUGCUUGGCUUGGGAUACUCCCAAAGUUCAAUUUCACUUUAAACUCAGACAAUAUUUAAGAUAUUAUACCAAAUAUUUCAAUAAUGAUAAAGAAACGGUAGUAAAGGAAAUAUCCCAUUAUACGUUGAUGAAUUAUAAUUCAUGGGAACAUGAUAUUUACAAUUGGCAACGACCCGUAUUGGAUGAUAUUGAUUUACCUGACUGGUAUAAAAGCGCACUGUUCAAUGAAUUGUACUACGUCGUCGAUGGAGGUACCGUUUGGUUGCGGGCUGAUGAAACCGAUAAAUUUAAAAACUCCGAUCCAAGAAAUGAAUACGGUCGUUUUGCGUAUUUAGAGGGCCAUGAAUAUCGAAUGUAUAAUACAUAUGACGUACAUUUUUAUGCUUCAUUUGCGUUGGCGCAGCUGUGGCCAAAUUUACAAGCUAGUUUACAGUACGAUAUUCAUGAUGCUAUUCAAAUUGAGGACUCAUCUUUGCGCACAACUUUUUACGAUGGUACUAAAUCUAUACGUAAAGCCAAAGGUUUUGUACCACACGACAUCGGGGAUCCUGAUGAAGAACCAUUUAAAAUGAUAAACGCAUACCCUAUUCAUAAUAUAUGUAACUGGAAGGAUUUAAAUUCAAAAUUUAUACUAACGUCCUACAGGGAUUUUAUUUUAACCGGUAAUCAGGAUAUGUUGAAAGAUUUUUGGCCGUCUAUCAAAGAGGUUUUAGAACACAGUCUCGCUUGGGAUACCGAUCAAGAUGGUCUCAUAGAGAAUAGUGGUUUUCCAGAUCAGACGUAUGAUACUUGGGUAAUGAACGGGCCUAGCGCUUACUGCGGAAGUUUAUGGUUGGCCGCACUUUGCUGUUCUCUUGAAAUCGCUAAAAUAUUUGAUGAUACUCAAUUUAUUAAAAAGUACACGGAGAUAUUAAAAAAAGGCAAGGAUGCAUUUCAGGAUAAAUUGUGGAAUGGAAGUUACUAUAAUUUCGAUUGUAGCAAAUCGGAUCAUCGACUUUGUAUUAUGAGUGAUCAGCUUUGUGGUCAAUUAUUUUUGCAAGCGUGUAAAUUAAAUCACAAGAGACGGUAAUCAAGGAGCAGUUAAUGGAUUUCUCCCGAGUGGUCGUAUUGACACGAUGAGUUUGCAAAGUGAGGAAAUGUGGACCGGUGUUAGUUAUGCACUUGCCGCUUUAAUGAUACACGAGGACAUGGUCGAGGAAGGUUUACGUACAGCAGAAGGAGUAUAUCGAACAGUCUGGGAGCAAAUAGGGUUAGCUUUUCAAACACCUGAA